rnacentral:rRNA from 2 species
AGUCGAACGAACUCUGGUAUUGAUUGGUGCUUGCAUCAUGAUUUACAUUUGAGUGAGUGGCGAACUGGUGAGUAACACGUGGGAAACCUGCCCAGAAGCGGGGGAUAACACCUGGAAACAGAUGCUAAUACCGCAUAACAACUUGGACCGCAUGGUCCGAGUUUGAAAGAUGGCUUCGGCUAUCACUUCUGGAUGGUCCCGCGGCGUAUUAGCUAGAUGGUGAGGUAACGGCUCACCAUGGCAAUGAUACGUAGCCGACCUGAGAGGGUAAUCGGCCACAUUGGGACUGAGACACGGCCCAAACUCCUACGGGAGGCAGCAGUAGGGAAUCUUCCACAAUGGACGAAAGUCUGAUGGAGCAACGCCGCGUGAGUGAAGAAGGGUUUCGGCUCGUAAAACUCUGUUGUUAAAGAAGAACAUAUCUGAGAGUAACUGUUCAGGUAUUGACGGUAUUUAACCAGAAAGCCACGGCUAACUACGUGCCAGCAGCCGCGGUAAUACGUAGGUGGCAAGCGUUGUCCGGAUUUAUUGGGCGUAAAGCGAGCGCAGGCGGUUUUUUAAGUCUGAUGUGAAAGCCUUCGGCUCAACCGAAGAAGUGCAUCGGAAACUGGGAAACUUGAGUGCAGAAGAGGACAGUGGAACUCCAUGUGUAGCGGUGAAAUGCGUAGAUAUAUGGAAGAACACCAGUGGCGAAGGCGGCUGUCUGGUCUGUAACUGACGCUGAGGCUCGAAAGUAUGGGUAGCAAACAGGAUUAGAUACCCUGGUAGUCCAUACCGUAAACGAUGAAUGCUAAGUGUUGGAGGGUUUCCGCCCUUCAGUGCUGCAGCUAACGCAUUAAGCAUUCCGCCUGGGGAGUACGGCCGCAAGGCUGAAACUCAAAGGAAUUGACGGGGGCCCGCACAAGCGGUGGAGCAUGUGGUUUAAUUCGAAGCUACGCGAAGAACCUUACCAGGUCUUGACAUACUAUGCAAAUCUAAGAGAUUAGACGUUCCCUUCGGGGACAUGGAUACAGGUGGUGCAUGGUUGUCGUCAGCUCGUGUCGUGAGAUGUUGGGUUAAGUCCCGCAACGAGCGCAACCCUUAUUAUCAGUUGCCAGCAUUAAGUUGGGCACUCUGGUGAGACUGCCGGUGACAAACCGGAGGAAGGUGGGGAUGACGUCAAAUCAUCAUGCCCCUUAUGACCUGGGCUACACACGUGCUACAAUGGAUGGUACAACGAGUUGCGAACUCGCGAGAGUAAGCUAAUCUCUUAAAGCCAUUCUCAGUUCGGAUUGUAGGCUGCAACUCGCCUACAUGAAGUCGGAAUCGCUAGUAAUCGCGGAUCAGCAUGCCGCGGUGAAUACGUUCCCGGGCCUUGUACACACCGCCCGUCACACCAUGAGAGUUUGUAACACCCAAAGUCGGUGGGGUAACCUUUUAGGAACCAGC